rnacentral:lncRNA from 1 species
CCACAGGAACCUGUCAACAUCGAGGAAGGGGAUGGCUAUUCCAAAGUUAUAAAGCGUGUUGUAUUGAAGAGUGACACCGAGCAGUCAGAGUCACUUUGUGUGAGCCCAGCAUUUUGUCCAGUACCUCACAAUUUCAGGCUGAGCCAGUGGAAGGCCGUAGAGUCAGCAAAGUUGUUAAAACAACUGUGGUACUUGGAGAGAGGAUGGAGAAACAUCUGGGGGAUUCUAGUUUAGCCACUGAUCUUCCUUCAGCCAAAGAUGACUUUGAAGAGCUUUGAGUUACACAGGUAGCCACAUGAAAGUCCACUUACCCAGUUUAGUAGAGAAUGAAAUCCUGAAAGAGGAUGGAUCAAUAAUUAAAAGACAACAAUGAGUAAAGCCAUCACACAGAAGAGGGCUGUGGUGAAGGACCAGCAUGGAA